UUAUUAUCUUGUUUUUUUUUCUUUUUUACUUGCUAUUUAGUAAAAUUGUUAUAAUUUUGACGAUAUGUUUCUGUCAGAAAAAUAGCUUUGGUAUUUCUAAGACUUAAUUUGGUAUUGAGGUCUAUAUAAAUGCUGGAGUUGAGGAAAAAAUAUAUAGGAAUAUGCACCGAUGAAACAGUAGAAAAUAUAUCGUAACCAACUAAUUGCAAUAUGCGAAAUGCAAUAUUAUGUAAAAAAAUAAACAGUUCUAUCGCCCUUUCCCACUGCACGUAACACAAUCUUUUCACAAUCCCAAACGAAGCCUAGGUAGUAAAGAAAUUGAAUAAUUGAGUUAAACACAAAAUUAGUAAAAUUAAACAAAACUACUUCCUUCUAUUUUAAUUACUAAAAACUUGCCUACUCGGUAUAGUUUACAUUUUUUUUCUUUUUUUUUAAAUUU
rnacentral:lncRNA from 1 species